UACGUAGGGUGCGAGCGUUGUCCGGAAUUAUUGGGCGUAAAGAGCUCGUAGGCGGUGUGUCGCGUCGGCCGUGAAAACCUGGGGCUCAACUCUGGGCGUGCGGUCGAUACGGGCAUCACUAGAGUUCGGCAGGGGAGACUGGAAUUCCUGGUGUAGCGGUGAAAUGCGCAGAUAUCAGGAGGAACACCUGUGGCGAAGGCGGUUCUCUGGGCAUUACCUGACGCUGAGGAGCGAAAGCGUGGGGAGCAAACAGG
rnacentral:rRNA from 1 species